CCGGCUCCUAAUCCUCUUGUUUUCGGUACAGUCAGCAGAUGUGGCUUCUUUUAGCUGAAUAAUCCGUUAAAGGAAUAAUAAUUUUUUAAAAGGAGAUCGACCUCACCCAAAGAGAACGGCGAACGAGAUUGGGGCUUGUAGAUCUACUGCCUUUCGUAACCCUGGCUGAAACGCUGCGGACUGCAACCAGUCUGUUAAAAAGAACAAAAACGGGAAAGACCUUGAGUGGACCCCCGGACAAAGCACUUUGGGCUCGGCGAGAAGGAUACACGGGAGCGCUGGCUCCGGAAUUCGAGUGAUCGCCAGUGCCCAAGGGCGUCCGCCCAGCGCACCUCUGAGGUAUUCAGACUGAAUUAGAGAGGACUGCAGCAGGCGAGUUCCGGAAGGCGGAUACCCCCGACCCCGGCCGCGGACCGCGGCAGCUCGCCCUGCGGCACGCCCGGCCAGGCUGCGCCUGGACUCGGCCGACUAGGAAAAAGCCUGGACCCGAAAGGAUGGGGGAGAACAAAGAGCCUUUGGAAGACGGCGCUGUUAUCUCAUUGUCUGUGUGAUUGGGGAGCUGCGGUAGGGAGGAUGCUGUGGUCCUUUCCUCCCUGCACUCCCCCACCCCCAGCCCUUUCCUCGCUGUCAGUGCGCACGCACUCGCGCCGUUUUUUACUUAUUUUUCCCUGUUUCCUCGUUCCAUCUUCUCCCCAGUCCCCUUUCUUUCUUCCGCCUUUCCUUCCUUCCUCCUUGCCUUCCUCAGGAGAAAGGCCUCUCUCUCCGUGUUCACAGCGGACCUUGAUUUAAAUGUCCAUACAAUUAAGGCACGCGGUGAAUGCCAAGAAUGGGGCUGGCUGAGCACCGUCGGUCCGCGAGGUCCCGCCAAGGAAGGAGCCACAGAGCCAAGGCGCCCUCCGCAGAGCUCAGCGCUGCGGCUUGGGACGGGAGGGGUCGCGGGCUCCCGGGGGCAGAAGCCCUUGGCGUGGGGAGGUGUGUGGUUCGUGACAGACAGGGGCUUAGAGAUGCGAAACCGAAGCUGAUUCUGUGACAGAACUGCAGAUCCCGGCAAGCACCGAAGCGGGGGGAGGGGAUGCCUGUGAGCGCAUUGCGGAGUGCUUCUCUGUGCAUAUUUUUCUCUAGGCUUGGGGUGCAUUGUACGCGGGUGGACACCUUUCUCCUUGGCUGUGUUUUUGUUCUGGGCUUAGCUUUUGGUUUUCUCUUUAAAAAAAAAUAACCUGGCAUCCAGAAGACUGGCAGGCUGUGCCAGGGCUUGGACUGCGGGUAUAUUGUGUUCUGCGUGAGGUUUGGGGGGAGGGAGGUAGCCAGUUGGAAGGGAGGAGGAGGAUGUUUGUCAUCCUUUGCUGUAGAGCUGUGGGCACCUGACAAGCUUGAAGAAGUCAUUGGGAUGUACGGGGAAGCAGGAACAAAUUCCUGGCGGGGUCACAGGCUCCAUCAGGACUGAAAGCGUGGCCAGGGCUCUUGGGAGCAUCUCACUUCCUCCUUGUGGCUGUAAUUGCAGUUUUAGGCAGAGAUCCAAGAGAUGCAGAGGAAGGGAGAGGCUCGGUAACCUAUAUGUACAUACCCAAGGGGGGUGGUGCAUUCCUUUAAAAAUCCUAACAGAAGGAAAAACAGAAUGUGUACAAGUGAGGGUUUGAGGAAAGAAUGUUUUGAAAGAAAGCAUCAGGGAAUGCAGAGGGCCAGCCCUCCCUCAUCCUGAAGAAGCUGCUUCCCAAAUGGGGCCUUCCCAUCACUAGACCUAGAGCAGCAGCUGGUCCUGGAGACCCCCUUCACAGGGCACAAUGACAGAUCCCAUCUCCUGCUCAGUAUUAACCCCCAAGCUGCAGUGGAUGGUGGCAAGACUGAAACUCAUUAAUUUUCUGGUGGAGAAAAUGGAGGUGGGGCAGGUCCCUACAGAGAAAGGAGGCCAAGAGCUGCUGGAUCUUCCUACCCAGGAAGCCUGCUGCAUCCCUUUCCCCAACCUUAGCAGAGGCCUGUUUUUGCAAGGCUGAGACCAUAAGGAUGCUUAGGAUUUUAGUUUGUUUCCUGCACAGUAAUCAAGGCCUAAAAGAGUCUCAGUUGUAGCUUACUGAGGAACUCUUUCCUCUCCAAAGCCUCAGUCUAGCCCACUGGAUAAGUUAGUAUUCAAAGAUACCCUAGUCUCAUUUCCUCCGAAAUAUUUAUUGAGUGCCUACUGUGUGUCAAUCAUUGUGUAGUUAUUAUGUCUUAUGUUCUUUCUUUGCCCUCCUAAGGGGGCCUCUGGAGUCAGGUGAGGUGAAGUGUGCUGUACCCCAACUAGACAUUCCCAGAACCUUCUCUGGGUCUGCAGAAAUGUGCUGCAAACUGCUCACCCCUGCAGAAUAGGCUGCAGUUAACAUCAUGCAAACUGUUAGGGGCGUUGUUCUUCUUCCAGCCCCAGAAGGUGAGCUUAGCUGGAGGACAGAAGAGGGAGCAGCUUCCCUGGCUCCUUGAGCCUUAGCCAGGGUUGUCCUAAGGGUCAUUGACAGUCGCCGCCUUUAAAACAGACCUCCCUUCGAAUGGUGCCUUUUUGGGGGGUAAAUCCCCUAGCCUCUCCCCUUCCCUCCUCCCUGAGAGGCUGCUCUUAUGUUUCUGCCAGGGAUGGGUUAAGCCCCUGAUGACCAACCCCUUGCCCUUCAGUUGUCCACAUUAGUGAGCCUUGUCUCCAUAAUUGCUUCCCCAUAACUCCAUCAGACAUAGCUACACCCUUCGCUGAUGUGCCUGCCCACGUAAUGCCCCUCGUAGAUGGAAACCUAACACACUUCUCCCUGAGAGCUUAAACCGCAGGCACCAUGGUCAAGAUCUGCCAGGUUCCUGCUGCCCAUAAUCUGCAAUGGGAGGGGGGUGCUUUUUUAUGGCUUAUGUAAACUCUAGUUUCUGAAAGCUUUCAUGUGUAUGGGGAUUGUCCUGUGUGCACCAGGUCUCAUUACACAGUGUGUUUUUCUGUGGGGCUUUAAUGGCCGAAAAUGGCAGAGAUGUAUGUACACUCUGCCUACUGUGUCAUUUCAAGGCCCCCUUUGUGUUCACCGAAUAGAGGUGUUGGAGGGAAGGUCAGUCCUGGCUCCUUCCCUCCCCCUAUACUUGGGGCCUGUUGAUGCCCAGCAAUAUUUAUGUAAGAGACUUGAAGAUUUCUGCUUUUUCAAGGCAUUUUUUUAACUCUCAACAUUAUCUUCUUCCCUGCCUAUCUAUUUGAGUCCCUCUAAUUACAUCCUACCAUUUCAAUGAAGGGGGGAACAUAUUGUUUUUUAAAUGUAGAUGAUGUUUGAGGCAUUUUGCUGAGAAUACGCUAAAAAAGCCCCUGUUGGUUCACCCACACUACCAUCAUUAUGGUCCUCAUGAGGAUGAGAGCUCAUGUUUCUCCAGGUGAAUAUGCCAGAUACUUUAAGAUGGAUUUAGUGAUGUAUCAAAGUAAAAAAAAAUGGUAAUAUUCUUCUUUCCCCUGCCAGAGACAGCCCAGGCCCAGGUCUCUGUUUAAGCAGAAAGGAAAUUGAGCAAAGGCAAAGGUAAAUUCCUCUAUCACUUCUGUCACCAAAGAGGUGGAAAUGGGGGACAGUGACUGUGGACGCAUGAGGAGGCUUAGCCAGAGAAAUAUUUGGGGAAGGGGUAAUUUCUCAGCAGGAAAAAGCUCAUAUACACACAUACAUAGCACACAACCGUAUCUGUUUGCAUAACCAUAUCCAUUGCUAGUAUUUAUAGAAAAGCAUUUACCCACACACACGCACGCACAAAUCCAUCCAUCUAUACUGUCUCCACGGGGAAAUAAUUUUUCUAUUUCCCUCUGCUGAACUUACAUAACACCCCCACCCCUUGUUCUAACCUGAGAAUGGAGUUCUCUGGGGGCUGCUGCAAAGCAUUCUCCCUAAGACAGAUGGAGCCUCCCUUCCUCCUCUCCUCUGUGGGUGGCUCUCGGCCCGUGAGUCAACGGGAGCUGAAGGUUGUGCUGCAGUCUGUGUGUUUGAGGCUUGGCUGGCUGAUUCAUGGUGAUGUGCGUGUCAACAGUAACAAUUAUAAGAAUUAU